rnacentral:tRNA from 1 species
GGAGGAGUAGCGAAGUGGCCAAACGCAUCAGACUGUAAAUCUGCUCCCUUACGGGUUCGGUGGUUCGAAUCCAUCAUCCUCCACCA